CUAGGUAAGCAAUUCCAGUGUUUUAGGUUAUCGUCCUGCUGAAAGGUGAAUUCAUCUCCCAGUGUAGAUGUGUUUUAGGAUGUUGUCCUGCUGAAAGGUGAAUUCAUCUCCCAGUGUAGAUGUGUUUUAGGAUGUUGUCCUGCUGAAAGGUGAAUUCAUCUCCCAGUGUAGAUGUGUUUUAGGAUGUUGUCCUGCUGAAAGGUGAAUUCAUCUCCCAGUGUAGAUGUGUUUUAGGAUGUUGUCCUGCUGAAAGGUGAAUUCAUCUCCCAGUGUAGAUGUGUUUUAGGAUGUUGUCCCGCUGAAAGGUGAAUUCAUCUCCCAGUGUAGAUGAGUGUCUGGUGGAAAGCAGACUGAACCAAGUUUUCCUCUAGGAGUUUUUCCUGUGCUUAGCUCUACUGUCUUUUUUUAUCCCCCCCAUAAAAAAA